GGUUGAGAGGGCGAGUAACGAAGAGUAUGGGUUGUUAGUCGUUAAAACGAGACGAGACGAGACGAGAUAUUUAACGACUAAAUAUCUAACCCUACCCCACCAAAACCACCCCCCAACCGCCCAAGUUCAGUCAAACACUCUUAACUCACGUUGAUUUUCAGCCCACACACAACUCACACACACUAACACCUAAAACACACACACCAUUCACGCAUAUACCAUUUUUAGCUUGAGCUCAAGCUUUUGAGCUCCGAUUUGAGCACCGAGAUGAACGCCGAUCAUCUUUUCGAUCACGUAUCUAAGUAGGUCCUUUUGGGAAGUAACGACUUGAGGGAGAGAGUGACGUUACUCAUUGAUACAGAGACACAACGAGGUUGAGCUGAUGUGAUGAUGGUGCUGCAAUGAGCGGAGUCUCCAGGGUUGUUAAUAAAUAGUUAACCUGUCUAGAAUAUGUCUUCAUACAUAUGUCUAGCUACUUUCCGCUGCAAGAUGUUGUUGAUGUUAUAGUAUGUUAUGUCAUACUUUAAGU